rnacentral:rRNA from 1 species
GACGAACGCUGGCGGCGUGCUUAACACAUGCAAGUCGAACGGAAAGGCCCUGCUUUUGUGGGGUGCUCGAGUGGCGAACGGGUGAGUAACACGUGAGUAACCUGCCCUUGACUUUGGGAUAACUUCAGGAAACUGGGGCUAAUACCGGAUAGGAGCUCCUGCUGCAUGGUGGGGGUUGGAAAGUUUCGGCGGUUGGGGAUGGACUCGCGGCUUAUCAGCUUGUUGGUGGGGUAGUGGCUUACCAAGGCUUUGACGGGUAGCCGGCCUGAGAGGGUGACCGGCCACAUUGGGACUAAGAUACGGCCCAGACUCCUACGGGAGGCAGCAGUGGAGAAUAUUGCACAAUGGGCGGAAGCCUGAUGCAGCAACGCCGCGUGCGGGAUGACGGCCUUCGGGUUGUAAACCGCUUUCGCCUGUGACGAAGCGUGAGUGACGGUAAUGGGUAAAGAAGCACCGGCUAACUACGUG